GCCUGUUUAUCAAAAACAUGGCUCUUUGUAAAUAAUAAAUAAAGAGUCGGACCUGCCCGGUGAUAAUUUUAACGGCCGCGGUACCCUGACCGUGCAAAGGUAGCAUAAUCAUUUGCCUUGUAAUUUAAGGCUAGUAUGAAGGGUUUGACAAGAAUACAACUGUCUCCUUUUGGUUAGAUAGAACUUUACUUAUAAGUGAAGAGACUUAUAUAAAAUUAAUAGACAAGAAGACCCUAUCGAGCUUUAAAAAAAUUAGUAGAAAUACAUGAAAUGAAUAAAUAAAAUCAAAUCUAUUAAGAAUUUUGGUUGGGGCGACUAAGGAACAAUUAAAGCUUCCUAUAUAUACUAAACAUUCAAGUAACGAUCCAGAAAAUUCUGAUUAAAGGAAUUAGUUACCGUAGGGAUAACAGCAUUAUCUUUUUUGAGAGCUCUUAUCGAAAAAAAGGUUUGUGACCUCGAUGUUGGACCAGAAUAUCCUAAAGAUGCAGCAGUCUUUAAGGGUUGGUCUGUUCGACCAUUAAAAUUCUACGUGAUCUGAGUUCA
rnacentral:rRNA from 1 species